rnacentral:rRNA from 1 species
AACGAACGCUGGCGGCAGGCCUAACACAUGCAAGUCGAGCGAGGACUUCGGUCCUAGCGGCGGACGGGUGAGUAACGCGUGGGAACGUGCCCUUUGCUUCGGAAUAGCCCUGGGAAACUGGGAGUAAUACCGGAUGAGCCCUUUGGGGGAAAGAUUUAUCGGCGAAGGAUCGGCCCGCGUUGGAUUAGGUAGUUGGUGGGGUAAUGGCCUACCAAGCCGACGAUCCAUAGCUGGUUUGAGAGGAUGAUCAGCCACACUGGGACUGAGACACGGCCCAGACUCCAACGGGGGGGGGGGGGGGGGAAUCUAAGAAAGGGGGGGAAACCCUGAAACGCCCCGGCCGGGGGGGCGAUGAAGGGCUUGGGGUUGGAAAGCUCUUUCGACGGGGAGGGAAAGAAGGGUACCAGCAAAAAAGCCCCGGCUAACCCCGUG